UUUUUACCCCAAAUAGUAAUGUGUAAUAUAAGACUACCCAGUGACUUGUUUUCAGGCAGAGUUUGAUAAGAGCCAAGGGGUCAGUCUGCUGAGGCCUCUUCCUGGAGGCCCCUGAUGAAACACCCCAACACCUGACCCUAAAUACCCAUCACUGGGGCUGGGUGUUUUGAACUGACAAAAAAGGCACUAAAAAUGUGCUUAGAAAACCACUGGGGACACGGAGCAGAAGAAAAGGCCAGAGAAAUCUAUUGGGGGAGCUAUGAAUCUAGCAACCAGCUAUGGGGACUUGCACUCAGUUCCUCCUCCUUGUAAGGAACAAAAGUGAGCUGAGACAAGUGCAGGGAACUCCACUACAGUCAACACUGGCACCUCAGAGCAAAAAUGGGACUCAUGGUAUCCCCUGAUAAAAUUUUUUUUCAGGGGAUGGGGGAGGAGGUUAGGAGGGACUCCUGGGCAAAGGUGAUAAAUGGCGACAUCUUGGCAGAGCCAAAGCCAUUAAAGCAUCCGAACAAGUAACAGGUGCUAAGAAAGCAAUCAUACCUUUGGGAGACCGAGUGACACAUCACGAGUCAGUUGCAGGAAGAUGGUGGCCACAACUUUCAGCUGAUCUCUUUCCAAGAGGUGCCCUGGGCCAACAAGAACCACCUCACCUAAGAUCACAGCUACCUCCUGGGCCAGUCCAUACCCAACGAAUGGCUGAUGCAGGGGAGGACUAUCUAAGAAUUUCAAGGACCAGGAAAGUUUCAUGAUGGAUCAAGCCUAAGGAUUUGUGAAUAAUAGGUGACAUACCAGUAAUGGGAACAUGUGGCUUUGGUUUUCUAAAAACGGGAAGAUGGCUGUCACAAAGCAUAUGAAUCAUGUGAGCUUGCUUGUGUUCUAUGCAAGGUUCUAAGACAUUAUCAAAUAGGUUGCUCACCAGGGAAUAGGUCACUAAGAUCAAAUCUCACCAGUCUAACCACAUUUUCUCUUCUUGAUGGUGACUAAACUGGAAAGGCAGAGAAUUACCUUGAAAUCAAGACAUGUGAGUAUUUGAGUGUAUCAUGAUAAACCUACAGAUAAGAUUUUAAAAUACCUGUGAACCUGAAGGAAAAUUUCC